GGGUUACCAGGUGUUCGUGGGAAACCAGGACCACAGGGAAAGUCAGGAGAGAAAGGUCCUGAUGGUGCACCUGGACCACCAGGACCUGAGGGUUUUCCUGGUGACAUGGGACCACCAGGAGACAAUGGCCUUGAAGGACCAAAGGGAAAACCAGGGGCCAGAGGUUUACCGGGGCCACGAGGGGUACUAGGCUUGGAGGGAGAUGAAGGUCCCCUUGGGCCACCUGGACCAUCAGGUCUUGAGGUGA